rnacentral:rRNA from 1 species
UUACACAUAGCAAGUCGAACGGCGAGCACGGGGCGAACCUGGUGCGAGUAGGCGAACGGGUGAGUAAUGCAUCGGAACGUGCCAUUGAGUGGGGGUAACGUAGCGAAAGUUACGCUAAUACCGCAUAUUCUGUGAGCAGGAAAGCAGGGGAUCGCAAGACCUUGCGCUCUUUGAGCGGCCGAUGUCAGAUUAGCUAGUUGGUGAGGUAACGGCUUACCAAGGCGACGAUCUGUAGCGGGGUCUGAGAGGAUGAUCCGCCACACUGGAACUGAGACACGGUCCAGACUCCUACGGGAGGCAGCAGUGGGGAAUUUUGGACAAUGGGGCAACCCUGAUCCAGCCAUGCCGCGUGAGUGAAGAAGGCCUUCGGGUUGUAAAGCUCUUUCGGCCGGGAAGAAAUCGCAUGGGUUAAUACCCUGUGUGGAUGACGGUACCGGCAUAAGAAGCACCGGCUAACUACGUG